AGAGUGCAUUCCCGGUCACCCACAUCCUGAAGACGUGUCAGGAAAACCGCAAGCUUAAGCUGUCACAGAGCCUCCUGAGACAGAUCCACCAAUUUCACUCAACAGGCUGGAGCCAACUGGCCUGAACAAGUCACAGUUCUGAAAAGCAGGCUCUCUCCCUGACUGAAUGCGAGGCUUUGAGUGGAGAGGGAGCCUGUCCGAGCGCGGUGGGAGCCAUAACGUCCAGCUGUCCAACUGCCACCGCCAGUGCAAGUCAUGACCCGAGCACACUGCAGGGAAGAUUGCCUCUCGUGACGUCAGCCCAAGGAGGAAAUGACCUUGAAGGAAACAGAACCCUGAUUAGUUGCAACGAAAGUGCUCAUUUCCAUUUUCCCUUUCCGAGAACGGCUGUGUUAUAUAGUCAAUGAAAUUAGUGUGCAUUGUUUUUGCCUGUUUCAACAACAAACAGAAGAGACAGGAUAAUGUGGAAGAUGUUAAAUGACUAAGUGAACUUUGGUUAGAACAACUUCAUAUUGGAGAUACUUCAUGAAAACUGAAAUUUUAUUAGCACAUUGUCAUUCAAAUUUCAAUAACAGUCAUUUUUGUUUGUU
rnacentral:lncRNA from 1 species